UACGAAGGGGGCUAGCGUUGCUCGGAAUCACUGGGCGUAAAGCGCACGUAGGCGGAUUGCUAAGUCAGGGGUGAAAUCCUGGAGCUCAACUCCAGAACUGCCUUUGAUACUGGCGAUCUUGAGUCCGGGAGAGGUGAGUGGAACUGCGAGUGUAGAGGUGAAAUUCGUAGAUAUUCGCAAGAACACCAGUGGCGAAGGCGGCUCACUGGCCCGGUACUGACGCUGAGGCACGAA
rnacentral:rRNA from 1 species